rnacentral:ncRNA from 1 species
UAUCGUGAGAUAGAAUCUGAAAGAAGAUGGAGGCAAAACUCUGGUCCGAGGAACACGAAUCACAUAUAAGGCGUAUAAACGGGGAUGAGUGUGCAAAACAACACGAAGUCAUAAGAGAUUGCGGAAUAGGACUGUUAUAUGUAAAUGUGGCGGAUAUAUGGAGAGAAAGAGA